ACUUAGUCAUCUUUUAUUUUUAUGAAAAUUUCCAUGUAAAAUUUUGAGUCAAAUGGCUGCCACUGUAGGCGAUGCCUUAAACAGCCCAAGUGUUAAAAAAGUUUGAUAAAUGUUACAACAUAGACAUGACAAAUUACAUUAAACGUUGAACAACCAAUUUUGACAUUUGAUUUAAUGCAUAACUACAUUAUUCUAAUAUUAAAAUAACUAAGGAAAGAGCAACACUGAACCAGCUAUAGUACAAGGGAGUUACCAUAUAGACACAGAAAAACUUCCAUUAUUCCCAAAUUUGCGAAUACUUGCAGAUGUAAGUGUGUCUAAUCUGUUUCUGUAUUAUGUCAGUAUAUAUCACAUUAAAGACAAACGCUUUUGGAACUAAUAGUGUAUUUCCUACUCUACCCAAGAGCUUAUUAUUGACUUUGAUGCUCAUUUUUCACCACAACAUUAACCUACAUUAUCAUUAUUUGUUACAACAAUGACCUUAAUUUUCAUUAUUUAUCACAAGUGACCUUGCGUUUCUUUACUUACCACAUCAAUACCAUAUAUUUAUAUCAUGUUCGUAACUGAUCUAGAAUAGUAAACUGACCGCAGCAGUAAACUUAUAGUACCUUAUAAUUACCAGAACAGCAGCUGAACCGUCUUGUAUCUAGCAAGCCUAAACAGAAGAAUACACUAUCUUUUUGUCAAAGUGAAAAGGGUAAAGUUUUUUGUUUAACGUGGUAGUCGACGAAAGUCCCCACUUGAAAUAGAUGGAACAAUUUAGCGAGCCCACGGCAGGAGUCAUAUUUACAUCCCCAGCACCAAGUCUAGGCGGAUACUGCUGAAAACAGUACCACUUAUAAGUAAAUCACCCAGCACCGAAUACUAGUCGGGAUAUCAGCCGCGACCGGGGAUCGAACCCGGAAAGCUUGCAUUAUAGUCCAACCUGCUAACCAUUGCGCCACUGACACUAAAUUGUCCAUAUAUAUUAUAGCGGAGCUUCAUAACUGUUUUUCUCCAUUUCCAAAGCACCAUUUGCAUUCUUAAUACAUCCGCGAACAACACUGUUCCUACAAAAUCUGACUACCUUGCCCAGGACUUUGAUCAGGGUCCGAAAUAUUAUAAUUAUAGUCAUUUCUCUAUCACCCAAACCUGAUGACGAUUAUAUUUAAAACUUUAAAAAUGUCUUAGUCAUGUGCUACCCAUUGCUACACUUAAUAACAUAAAUGAAAGGAUCAUGUCGGUCUUUUCUUAUUCAAACAUUUCACUUAGAAAUAUUGAUGCGGUUUGAAGCAAACAGUUAAAACAAUUUGUAGCUAACCAAACAAUAGCGUACACUCUUUUUGGAGUAAUUUAUGACUUAACAGUAGCAUACGUUCUGUUGGAAUAUCGAUGCAUUUGUAGCUAUCAACAACCAGUUGCUUACAUUCUACGAAAUAUUGAUGCAGUUUGUAGCAUACAUUCUAUGGAAAGUUGAGGUGCCUUAUGUGUAGCUUAAUAACAAACAGUAGCAUAUGUUUUAUUGGAAUAAUAAUGCAGUCUGUAGCUUACAAUAGCCAGUAAGUUGGUAACUGGAAUAUCAAUGUAGUUUACAACACCAGUAGCACACAUUCUACGGAAUAUUGAUGCAACGUGUAGCUUAUUGGGCAAAAACAUACAUUCUACGGACUAAUGAUGCAGCAUGUAGCGUACUAGACAGUAGCAUACAUUCUACGGACUAGUGAUGUAACGUGUAGCUUACCUGACAGUAGCAUACACUCUACGGAAUGUUGACGCAACGUGUAGUUUACCAAACAGUAGCAUAUGGAAUAUAGAUGCAGCAGCGUGUAGCUUACCAGACAGUAGCAUAUGGAAUGUUGAUGCAACGUGUAGUUUAUCAGACAGUAGCAUAUGGAAUGUUGAUACAACGUGUAGUUUACCAGACUGUAGCAUAUGAAAUGUUGAUGCAACGUGUGGUUACCAGGCAGUAGCAUAUGGAAUGUUGAUGCAACGUAUAGCAUACCAGUCAGUAGCAUAGGGAAUGUUGAUGCAACGUGUAGUUUACCAGACAGUAGCAUAUGGAAUGUUGAUGCAACGUGUACUAGUUUACCAGACAGUAGCAUAUGGAAUGUUGAUGCAACGUGUACAGUAGCAUAUGGAAUGUUGAUGCAACGUAUAGCAUACCAGACAGUAGCAUACUGAAUGUUGAUGCAACGUAUAGUUUACCAGACUGUAGCUUAUGGAAUGUUGAUACAACGUGUAGUUUACCAGACUGUAGCAUAUGGAAUGUUGAUGCAACGUGUGGUUACCAGACUGUAGCAUAUGGAAUGUUGAUACAACGUUUGGUUACCAUACAGUAGCAUAUGGAAUGUUGAUGCAACGUGUGGUUACCAGACAGUAGCAUAUGGAAUGUUGAUACAACGUUUAGUUACCAGACAGUAGCAUAUGGAAUGUUGAUGCAACGUAUAGCAUACCAGACAGUAGCAUAUGGAAUAUUGAUGCAACGUGCAGUUUACCAGACUGUAGCAUAUGAAAUGUUGAUGCAACGUGUGGUUACCAGGCAGUAGCAUAUGGAAUGUUGAUGCAACGUAUAGCAUAGCAUAUGGAAUGUUGAUGCAACGUGCAGUUUACCAGACAGUAGCAUAUGGAAUGUUGAUGCAACGUGUAGUUUACCAGACAGUAGCAUAUGGAAUGUUGAUGCAACGUAUAGCAUACCAGACAGUAGCAUAUGGAAUGUUGAUGGAACGUGCAGUUUAUCAGACAGUAGCAUAUGGAAUGUUGAUGCAAAGUGUAGUUUACCAGACAGUAGCAUAUGGAAUGUUGAUACAACGUGUAGGUUACCAGACAGUAGCAUAUGGAAUGUUGAUGCAACGUGUAGUUUACCAGACAGUAGCAUAUGGAAUGUUGAUGCAAGAUGUACACUAGCAUAUGGAAUGUUGACGCAACGUAUAGUUUACCAGACAGUAGCAUAUGGAAUGUUGAUGCAGCGUAUAGCAUACCAGACAGUAACAUAUGGAAUGUUGAUGCAACGUAUGGUUACCAGACAGUAGCAUAUGGAAUGUUGAUGCAACGUGUAGUUUACCAGACAGUAGCAUAUGGAAUGUUGAUACAACGUGUAGUUUACCAGACAGUAGCAUAUGGAAUGUUGAUGCAACGUGUGGUUACCAGACAGUAGCAUAUGGCAUGUUGAUGUAACAUAUAGCAUACCAGACAGUAACAUAUGGAAUGUUGAUGCAACGUGUAGUUUACCAGACAGUAGCAUAUGGAAUGUUGAUGCAACGUGUAGUUUACCAGACAGUAGCAUAUGGAAUGUUGAUGCAAGAUGUAGCUUACCAGACAGUAGCAUACAUUCUGCGGAAUAUUGCUGCAAAACAUUGAUUCAUUGAAUAUUGAUUUAAUUUGUGGUUUCUUACUGAUUUUAUUACAACAAACAGAAGUAUAUAUUCAACGAAAUAUUGAUGCAAAGUUAGUUCACAAUAACUGACUGUAUCAUUUAUUCUAUGACAAUUCUAACAGACAAGAAAGUUUGGCUGGUCUGAUACUAGUUUGAAUUAUGACACCGACAGAUAGUGAAUUAAGCUAAUAACUACUGUAAAUAUUAUGACAGUUGGUAAUUUCUUUUGACAACUGAAUCAUUAUUGAAUAAUAUUUGCAUACAUUUAUUUAAGUUAACGUGUAAACAAAAUAAAUAUUACCAUAUAUACGAAACUACAAAAUAUGGCGGUCCUAGUAUAUAAUACGUGUACUGUGACUGUGGCAUCACCUGUGAAAAAGAUAUAUCAUUCUCUAAUUAUUAAAACCCGAGAUAGUAAGCGUUUUUGUAGAAAAGUUUAAGAAAAACUGUUUCAGUAUUAUGUUGUUUUUUUGGCGUGUCUACGUGUCUUGGCUGAAAAUCUUUCUAGUAGGUACUUGAACCAUGUCUGACAGUUGAGUUUGUAAAAAUGUGUCUUCCCCAUUUCAGUAAAAAAUGUCAGCAUUACCAAAAUUGUGAUAGUUUUGAGGUUAGAGAAGUGUAUAUAUGAACGAGUUAAUCGACAACGAUUGUUUUUAGCAAAGGAGACUGGGCAAACGAAUAUGAACCUGUUACAGGUUUUAGAUUUCUCACUGUGUAAAUAAUCGAUACAGACGACAAUUGUUGAAAUGUAAAUUUAUACAAGAUCUUUCGUCGUCACAGAGUAUCAGGAAGGUUGAAUCUAUCGUUUAUUUGUUCUGCAGUCUUGACAACAUCAGACGCACAUGCGCCGCGUGCACGAGGUCCGUUCUUGUUUCACCCAUCUGUAUGGAACGUUAUGUAGUCAAUGACUGCCAGGCGUUACAAGCGUUACGCAGCAAUAGUCUGCAACACAACCAGUCAACCAACCAAAAUGAGUGACUGUCAAAUUGAAGGAAUGGACAAGUAACACACGAAUGAAUGAAUGAAUGAAUGAAUGAAUGAAUAUUCUAGACCAGUAUGGCGAUGAUAUCUGUUUUAGUCAUAUUCAUUCAAUAUGUAAUGCAGGAAGUGUUAAAUACUUAAUUGAAAUAGAUAAACUAAUAUGGCAUGGUAAAAAAAUCAGGAAGUUUGAAAUAUAUGUAGAAUCUGUAUCAGAUAUCAGUCUACGUAAUUGGAUAGUCAAUACCUUCUGUCAGAAUGCCAGUUUGGUUUUAUUGUUGUCACGUACGUUAUAUAUUUGAGAAACGUGAGCACAAAUGGAGCAUUUAAUGAGACUUUCAAAGUUAUUGAUAGUUUCUGUUAUUGUUUCAAACGGCAAAAUGUCUAAAACAGUUAAGAUUCUUUCUGAGCAGGCACUUAAAGCUAUCAAUAAACUCUGAAGUCUUUUAAAAGCAUUGCUGUAGAUGUUGAAAAGUCAGUCCACACUAGUAAAAAAAAAAUUCAAGUAUCUAGGUGAAGUUUUUAAAGUUUGGAAUAAUAACGUAAAUGCGUUGUCUUUAUGUCCAAUCUUGACCUGUUUCUCAGCUGCAACUACGUUAGAUUUAUGACAUUUAUAGACGAACUAGUUAUUGUGUUCUGUCAUGAAAAGCAUA
rnacentral:lncRNA from 1 species